CAAAAACAUCGCCUCUAGAAUAAAUAUUAGAGGUCCAUCCUGCCCCAUGACUUGUUAAAUGGCCGCGGUACCCUGACCGUGCAAAGGUAGCAUAAUCAUUUGCCUCUUAAUUAGAGGCUUGUAUGAAUGGACACACGAGAGUCAAGCUGUCUCACUUUUAUAAAUAAAAAUUAAUCUCUAGGUGAAAAAGCCUAGAUGCCAUAAAAAGACAAAAAGACCCUAUUGAGUUUUAUUGAAAAUGUUUUUCCAAUAAAAUAAUUCAACACAUAAAAACAAAAUCAAUUUAGUUGGGGCGACUUAGGAAGAAAUUAAAUCUUCCUGUAUAAAAAAGACCAUAAAUCUAAAAACUGAUCCACAUCCGUGAUUAAAAGAUCAAACUACCAUAGGGAUAACAGGCUAAUCUUCUUUGAGAGCCCAUAUUGACAAGAAGGAUUGGCACCUCGAUGUUGGCUUAGA
rnacentral:rRNA from 1 species